rnacentral:rRNA from 1 species
GACGAACCGUGCAAACGUUAUUCGGAAUCACUGGGCAUAAAGGGCGCGUAGGCGGCUUCAUAAGUCAGGGGUGAAAUCCGGCAGCUUAACUGUCGCAGUGCCUUUGAUACUGUGGAGCUCGAGGGAGGUAGGGGUCUGUGGAACUUCCGGUGGAGCGGUGAAAUGCGUUGAUAUCGGAAGGAACGCCGGUGGCGAAGGCGGCAUCCUGGACCAAUAUUGACGCUGAGGAGCGAAAGCCAGGGGAGCAAACAGG